rnacentral:rRNA from 1 species
CCUACGGGAGGCAGCAGUGGGGAAUCUUGCGCAAUGGACGAAAGUCUGACGCAGCGACGCCGCGUGAGGGAGGAAGCUCUUCGGGGUGUUAACCUCUGUUGCCGCAACGAAACGCCAGAUUCGUCUGGCUUGACGGUACUCGGUGAGGAAGCGCCGGCUAACUCUGUGCCAGCAGCCGCGGUAAU